AGGCACUCUGGACCUGGCACCCGGCAGGUGCCUGGUGUGUAGACAUCCCACGGGCCGAACCUUGGGUAGACCCCAAGCAAGAGCCAAGGGCGGAGCCAGAGCUGGCCACAAGGAGAACUUCUGCCUAGAGAAGUCUGACUGUGAGCUGAGGAGCCUGACCUGACCCUGGAGGCAUUCUUUGGGUCUGGGCUGCGCCAUGGUCCCCGCUGAUGAACCAGGCGGAGGGCACCCAUGCCCCAGCAGAUCGAUGCACAGCAACCUGCCUGCCACACCCAGGAAGCUGGGGGAGGCCCCUGCACCCCCCACCCCACCACCAUUUGAAGGACCGAGACUGAUAUCCAGGGGGCCAGUCCUGCUGCAGAUGGACAGGCCUUCACAUGGACCCUGGGGAGGACCCUGUGGACUCAGGGGAGACAAACUCAAGGCCAGUAACCAUGCCGUGUCCCA
rnacentral:sRNA from 1 species